AGGAGAGAUCUGAUCAUACCUCUAUACCUUUUUAUAUCUACGGUCUUACCAUUUUCAUCCUGAUCCAUAUUAACAGCAGUAGGCAUUGGAGUGUCGAUUACUUUGGAGUUUGCCAUAUCGAAGCACUUAAGUAGCUCAUUAGAAUACUUCGUUUGGCUCACAAAAGUUCCUUAUUCAAGUUGCUUGAUUUGAAGUCUGAGGAAGUAAUUUAGCUCCCCCAUCAUGCUCAUUUCAAAUUCUCCCUACAUCAACUUAGAGAAUUCCUUGACCAAAUUUAUGUUAGUAGAUCCAAAAAUAAUGGCAUCUACAUAGACGUGAACUAAAAUAGAGUGUUUUCCUUGACGCCUAAUAAAAAGGGUAGUAUCAAUCUUCCCUCUUGAGAAUCCUUGCUCUAGUAGAAUUUUGCUAAGACGCUCAUACCAUGCCCUAGGGGCUCGUUUGAGACCGUAUAAAGCAUGCUUGAGCUUAUAAACAUAGUUAGGAUGCUCAUGGUUUUCAAAGUCGAGAGGUUGAGAUACAUAGACCUCUUCAUUAAUGUAACCGUUUAGGAAAGCGCUCUUACCAUCCAUUUGAAAUAAUUUGAAAUAUUGAGAACAAGCAUAGGCAACCAAAAGGCGUAUAGCCUCGAGUCGGGCAACCAGAGCAUAAGUUUACUCAUAGUCGAUGCCUUCCUCUUGGUUAUACCCUUGAGCAACAAGGUGAGCCUUGUUGUGAGUUAUGAUUCUGUUUUCGUCUAACUUGUUCCUAAACACCCAUUUAGUUUCAAUUACUCGAUGGUCUCGUGGAGGGGGAACAAGAUCCCACACCUCAUUUCUUUUGAAUUGAUUAAGUUCCUCUUGCAUUGCUAAAAACCAAUGUUCAUCGAGUAAUGCAUCAUUAGAGUUUUUAGGCUCAUUUUGAGAGACAGAAGCGAAAUGAUAACAAAAGUUACUUAUCUUUGACUGUGUGGUAACUCCCUUUGAGAUAUCUCAUAGAAUAUUAUCGAUGGGAUGAUCCUUAGAAUAUUUCCAUUCCAAAGGAAGAUAAUUGUUAUUAAUAGAAUGAUCCUCCUCUUUCUUUUCGGAAAUUUGAUCCGGCUCCUCCUCAGCUUUUUUCGGAUGGGGUUCAACAUGUUUUUCUUCUUGAUCUUUUAUUAUGUCUUUUGAAGGAACACCUACACCAUCAACAAUAAUACCUUCUCCGACAGUUUUCAGAUAAGAUUCAUCAAAGGAAACAUGCACGGAUUCUUCAACAAUAAGUAACCUUUUGUUGUAUACUCUAUAUGCUUUACUAGAAUGAGAGUAUCCGAGAAAGAUACCUUCAUCGGCUUUUGAGUCAAUAACAAUAAGUAACCUUUUGUUGUAUACUCUAUAUGCUUUACUAGAAUGAGAGUAUCCGAGAAAGAUACCUUCAUCGGCUUUUGAGUCAAAUUUACCAAGGUUUUCUUUACCAUUGUUUAAUACAAAGUAUUUACAUCCGAAGAUAUGAAGAUAUGAAGAAUUAGGCUUCCUUCCCUUUAGAAAUUCAUAAGGGGUUUUGUUUAGAAUAGGACGAAUGAGUAUCCUAUUCAAUACAUAACAAGCUGUAUUUAUGGCAUCGUCCCAAAAGUAUUUAGGAAGGCCAUUUUCAUUGAUCAUAGUUCUUCCAAGCUCUUAUAAAAUUCUAUUUUUACAUUCCACUACUCCAUUUUGUUGUGGAGUUCUUGGAACAGAAAAAUUAUGAUUAAUGUCGUUUGUUUCACAAAAUUCCUCAAAGAGGUGGUUUUCAAAUUAACCUUCGUGAUCACUUCGAAUAGUAACUAUACUGGUGUUCAAUUUGUUUUGAGACAUCUUGGCAAACUUUUCAAAAGCAGAAAAAGUGUCACUUUUACUUGCUAAGAAAAUAGUCCAACAAAAUAUGGAGUAGUCAUCUACUAUAACAAAACCAUAGUAGUUUCCACCUAGACUUUUAAUUCUAGAUCCAAAAGGUCCAUAUGGAGAAGUUCAAGGGGUAUCGUUGUAGAAACAAUAUUUUUAGAUUUAAAUGAGAUCCUUGUUUGCUUUCCCAUUUGGCACGCAUCACAUAAGUGAUCUUUUGAAAUUUUGAUUUUGGGAAGACCAACUACUAGAUCUUUUGCGACAACUUUAUUUAGCAAGUCAAAGUUGACAUGCGCUAAUCGCCUAUGCCAAAGGCACGAGUCUUCACUCAUGGAGACGAGACAUUUAGCGCUAGUCAAGGAUACUUCAUUUAAGUUAAGCAUGUAUACAUUAUUUUCCCUCAAGCCCUUAAGCAUAUCAUUCUUAUUAUCAUUAUGUUCAAUCAUGCAACAAUCUUUUGAAAACAAUACUUUAUAUCCUUUGUCAUAUAAUUGGCUAAUACUAAUGAGAUUGUGCUUAAGGCCUUUAACUAAGAGGACGUCUGAGAUAGUAGUAGAGGAGGGAUUACCUACACUACCUUUUCCGAGUAUAGCUCCCUUGUUAUUAUCACCGUAGGUUACAAACCCUUUCUUCUUAGCCACAAAGUCAAAGAACAAGGAGAUGCCACCCGUCAUGUGUCUUGAGCAUCCACUAUCGAGAACCCAUGUUCUCUCCGUAUCCUCAAGACAUUCCACCUAUAAAUUUAAACAAGGGAGGGAGGUACCCAAUUUUCAUUGGGUCCUAGUGUGUUAGUAAAACUUUGGUUGCAUUUAGGCAACCAUUGAAAAAUGCCUUUAGGGACUAAAAAUCUCCUAAAUCGAUAUUUAGCAAUAGUAUGUCCCCUUUUGCAACAAUAUAGGCAAUUUAAGUUAGGAUGAGACUUGCUUUUGCUAACUUGAUCCUUUACCACAUAAAUGUAUCUUUGAUAAGGAUUAUUCAUGUUACUUCUAAAAUGUGAUUGAUCAAUAGCAAAGGUAACUUUAGGUUGUAAAGUCUUGUCUAAUUUGGCUUGAAAAGUUCUAACCUCUCUUUUCCAAAUGUGACAGGUUUCACAUCCGGACCAUCCAAACCAAAAUCCCUUAUCAUCUUCAGUUUUGCCUUUAGUAACCUCUAUCAUAGAUUUCUUGAGAGUUUCUAAUUCCUUUUCGGAAUUAGAAAUCUUCUUUUCUAAAUAGCAAAAAAAAUCUUAUUUGAGGUUAGGCGUUUGAAAGCUUCCUUGGCCUUAUUGUGUAAAGUACUAAAGACAUUUUGCAAAUCACAAUAAGAUAUUUUAUCAACAUGAUCAUAUUUAGAAUGACUUACAUUCUUUUUCUUAUUUUGAUGAGCUGUAAGACAAAGAUUUGUAUUUUCUUCUUCAUGACUUGAGUUAUCAUCGCUUAAGGACUCACUAUCACUCUCCCAUGCAAUGUAUGCUCUUCUAGAUUUGCUAGAUUUGUUGUGAUGUUUGUCUUUUCCUUUGUCUUUCUUCAGCAAGGGACAGUCCGACUUAUAAUGAUCGGUCUUUCCGCAAUUAAAACAUGAUCCUUUUGACUUAGUUGUCUUACAUUCCUCUUGAUUUGGGAAUUUUGAUUGUCUUCUAUAGUUGAAAAGAUUUUUAUCCAAAUGUUGGACUUCAUUCUUUCUAAGGUAUCAGUUAUACCUCCUUACGAACAACCCUAUGUCUUCAUUCGAAUCUUUAUCGUCAUCACUUGAUUCACUCUCACACGCAUCAUUGGUGGAUGACUUAUAUCUUGAAGUCUUUAAAGCGAUAGACUUCCUUUCGGUGUCCUCAACUUUAUCCUUCUUUUCCUUCUUUUGACUUUCUCAUGUUUCUCAAGGUUCAUGAGAUCUUGCUCAUGCUUUUGAAGCUUGCCAAACAAUGUUGUCAUGUCCAAUGUUCUUAGAUCAUUGGCUUCCUUAAUCGCGGUGACCUUUGGUAGCCAAUUCCGGUUAAGACAUCUUAAGAUUUUAUUAGUAGCAACAUCAUUAGGGGUAGUUCUACCAAGAGCAUUUAACCGAUUGAUUAGAUGAAAAAAUCGCUUUUGCAUAUCGGUAAUGGUUUCACCAUCCUCCAUAUGAAAAAGGUCAAAUUCUUGAGUUAAAGUGUUGAUUCUAGCUAGUUUGACGUGAUUGGUUCCCUCAUGGGUAAUUUGCAAUAAGUCCCACAUAGCUUUAGCACUAGUACAAUGGAAAACCCUAUAAUACUCAUCAACACCUAAAGCGGAAAUAAGCAUAUUUUUGGCUUUCCAUUCAUAGCUAUACUUUUUCUCAUCUUCUUCAUUCCAUUGUGCUUCAGGUUUAGGUAUAACAAAACCAUCCGCAUUGGUCAUGGUUAUUUCCAUAGGACCAUCUUGGAUGACUUUCCAUACUUUCAUAUCAAUAGAGUUGUUAUGGAUACGCAUAUAAUCUUUCCAAUAACUAUAGUUUUCACCGGUAAAAAUAGGUGCCCUGUUGUACGCCACUUUAGGAUCGUUACUUAUUUUCUAAAAAGUUAUAUGCGAAGCACUAGAUGAACCAACGCUCGUGAUACCACUUGUUAGAUGAUAGUACCGAUCUAGAAUGGGGUUGAAUAGAUCAAUUUUGAAAUUUAUCUCUUUUUAAAAAUGUUUUCAACGGUCGCGGAAGCACAUUAGAUUAUAACCGUCUAAACGAUUUGUUAAUGAAAAGAUCGGAUAUGCGGGAAACCGAAUGGAAUAACUAAUAUAGAGAUAAUUAACCACUAUCUAAAUCAAUAGAUUAACCACUAUAAUCCUUGAUAUUGUUGCCUCUAAUAAUGCUUAAACGCAAUAAGAGAUCAAGUAAAAUAUUACUAAAUUUGUGUGAGAUUAAUUUUAUCGAACACUUGGUGUGCACUCCACACCAAGUUUCAAUUUCACUCAAAUUGAAUGUGCAGAAUUUUACUCAGCUGCAAUCAAAGUGAUUGCACCAAUUUAUCGAACAGUUAUUAUGCACAACAAUAAAAGCAAUAUUGGUUUUACUAUUAAUUUCGCACAAACCGUAAUUAAUGCAGAAUUUAAAGAGUUAAGAGAUAGAGAGAACAGGACCGGAUUUGUUGAGGCAGUUCCCAUAUCGUCCUUGCUUAGCGUACGUUUGCCCUCAAUUCUAAAUCUAGAAUUGAGAUGUUUUUAUUAACACGUUGCAAAGUCAAUACAAGAGAACAAAUGAUCACCACCAACAAACUCCUAGUAUUGUUGCAGAUCAUAUUCGCUUCUCUCCCCUUGAUUCGACUUGAACCAAGUCCUUCAAGCGCUUCGAACAAACCUCCGGUUACAGCUACCUUAUUGCAAGAAUGCCAUGUUCUUCAAAACUUCAGCUCGGCUGAUUUCGAUCGUAAGUCACUUGAACCCUAAGCUUUCUUCACAAUCCUUCAGUUACCGUUACUUGUUUGACCGAAUCCACCGUUCUUCAAACUUUUUACUCGGUUGAAUCUACGAAGCAAAGAUUAAUGCAAAAAACCCCAAUUCUUGGAGGAAAAAACCCCAAUGGUUUUAUUCAAGAAAAACCCACACAAAGCCUCAACCCAAACUAAGAUAACAUACUCUUAUUUGGAUGUUAUCACAACAGCAAUGCACAAUGCUCAAUAAAGAUUGUUAUGUGUGAUUAUUGAGAAAUGCAAUGAAGAAUGAAGAUGAUGAGCACUUUGGUGUAUAUCUUUCACUUUUCUUGUUAAGAUGUUGAAGAACAGACUCUAGACUAUUUAUAUGAUGCAUGGACCAACUAACAGACAUAACAUAAUUAUUUUGCAAAAUUACACAGCAGAAAAUUAAGUCUAAACAACGGCCACUCGACCUGUAUGGACCCGAGGCAAAAUUAUUCAAGUAAAACAGGCGAUGAGUCGACUCAAACAGAGGAUGAGUCGACUCAAACAGAGUUUUUCCAGGAUUGAGUCAACCUAUGACUUGACCUGUUCAGACUCGUGACUACAUGGUUCAAACAAAAAUAGGCAUUGAGUCGAUGCAACAUGUGGAUGAGUCGACUCAUUCAGUUUUCCUAGGAUUGAGUCGACCCGUGGCUCGACCUGUUCAGGCCCGGAAGUUACGCUCUAAGUCAUUGAGUCGACCUGUGACUCGACCUAUUCAGACCCGAGAGUUACGCUCCGAGUCAUGAGUCGACUCACGGGUCCUAAACUCCUAAAAAUGAGUUUUGAGAUGUAUUUUGACCAAUUUAAUCGAUCUCUUAUGAAACUAGGAUAUUUACUAUGAUCAAGUGCAUGAUUCACAUCUAUGAUAUGCUCUUAUAUGUCUGGACAUGUUGUACCUAUAUUUUGAACAUGUUAGAGGAUGAAUGCAUUCUAUGAUAUGAUGAUAUUGUCCAAAGUACAUGUUAUGGGCGAUUAGAAAGGUUUGACAUCAUUAAAAUAAGGACUAGACAUAUUUUCCCUCACAUUAUUGUUGAGGUUGGACCCAUUAUCAAUGAUAAUUUUGUUGGGAACCCCGUAUCGGCAUAUGAUGUUGUUCUUCAAGAAGCGGGCAACCACUUGCUUGGUGACAUUAAUAUAAGACGCGGCUUCGACCCAUUUGGUGAAGUAGUUUAUGGAAACCAAUAUAAACCUAUGUUCAUUAGAUGCUUUGGGUUAAAUCAUCCCAAUCAUGUCAAUUCCCAACAUAGAGAAAAGAAAUGGUGAUGCUAUGACAUUUAGAGGGGUAGGUGGAACGUGCACCUUGUCAGCGUAUAAUCUGGUACUUAUAGCAUGUUCUAGAAUAAUGGUAACAGUCAGAUUCCAUUGUUAUCCAGUAGUAACCUUCCCUUAGGAUUUUAUUUUCCAUCGCAUGCCCACUUGCAUGGGUACCAAAGGAUCUUUCAUGUAUAUCCUUCAUAAGUAGAUUGGUUUCAUGUUUGUCCAUACAUCUGAGCAGGACCAAGUCAUAAUUCCUUUUAUACAACACAUCUCCAUUUAGGAAGAAAUUUGAUGCUAACCUCCGGAUAGUCCUCUUAUCAGGGCUAGAAGAGUAUGUCCACUAUUGGAUGGGAAAGGAAUGAUAUUGCAUACUGUCCUUUCGCCCAUAAAAUCAGUGACAGGUAUUGUCCUUACCCAUGAAAUCAGGUAGUGGAAAGGAUGUUCGUUUUGUACCAUGUACUAUUUGAGCACGUUCUCAUUUUGAUCUUAUCUUCAUAUUCAUUGACUUAUGAUGAAAGUUGAUGAAGCAUGAAAUGAAGAAGCAUAAACCUGGAUUCAGAAACUUUAGAAUCUUCGGUCAGAACCUUGACAGUGCCAGUAGUAUGGGUUGAGAUCUUCAGUAUCUUUAGAAUCUUUAGAGUCUUCAGAAUCCUCAGUCAAAACCUUAAUAACUUCAAUCGUCUGGUUUGAGAUCUUCCGAAUCUUCAAUUACACAACACAACUUCAUAAGCUUGCCAUUCGUCAGAAGUUUGGUGAUCAGAGCCACGUCCAGUAGCAUGAACUAUGAGAACAUUACAGCAGCAACAUAGUCUCUCCUCAUAAGCUUCUGAUGAGUGAGACAACACAGAAGCAGAAAGACAUUGCAGUAGAAAUAUUGACGUCUUUCAGAACAUCUAAUAAUUGGCGCAAAAGCAUAUUUGGAACACGUAGUUCAGAAAUUGAUGACGUUGCACAUCAUAUAUCCAUAAUCAGAACUGGUUGUUAAAGCUACACAAUAAUAAACCAUUAGGGUACCAAAAUUGUUCUCACACAAAUACAAUAUUGUUAUCAUCAAAACUCAAGGUAUAGAUGCAUAACCAAAUCUUGUGCUAACAAUCUCCCCCUUUUUGAUGAUGACAAAACAUGUAUUUUGAUGAACAUUUUUGUACAUGAUAAUCAUAGAAUAAUACAUCUUACAAAAUCACAAAGCUCCCCAUGAGAUGUAGAAUCCUAUAAAGAUAAAAUCAGAAUGAAAGAACACUUUCCUGAUUAACCUUUUUGAAAUACCAGAGUGAAUAUUCUGUCAGAAUUUGGUUUAUCUUCAGAAGUUAAUUGAUGUUGUCCAAAGCACUGGUUUGAUGACAUUAUCAUUCUGAUAGGCUUCACUUCAGAAGAUUCCUUGAAUUCUUUAGAAGAAAGUUUAAAACUGGUUAUCUUCUUUAAAAGAGCAGGUUUUCUUAUUAGAACCUUGACUUUUCAAGUCUAAUUACUAUAGAAGAAAAUAUCUCUUAGCUGGAUUCCAAAUCCAUGAUUAUCAGAAAGAACAUAUUCUGAACCAUUCUAAUUCUUGAGGAAUGACCCUACAAAACACUCAACAAACUAUUAUUUGAAGUAGUUGUUAGCAGAAAGCAUUAAUCAAUGUUUGGGUUUUUAAUUAAGGAAAUUAUAUAUAAAAAUAAACACUAAUUCUUCCCCUUUAGAAUGUUAUGUUUUCUCCCCCUUCGUCAUCAAUCAAAAAGACAUAAGACAAAAAAUAAAUGAAGAGAAACAAACAUUUUUCAUUGAAAAAUUGCCACAGAAGCUUCAGAGACGACAAUCUGAGUAACAACUUCUUCCAUAGCACAAUCUUGAGGUUCAAAAGCAACAUCAACUUCUGGAGCAGACUCAAGGUGUUGAGCAAUCUCUAUUUCUGGAGCAGCUGGAGCAGCUUCUUCUUCCAUAACCUCAGGAGUCGCUUCCUUGAUUUCUGGAGCAGGAAGACAAAGUUGGGAGUUUCUUAACUUCUAGAGUUCCAUUAAGGGAAUGAAACCAUAACAUAAUUUUACUUCAACAAGAGUGUACCCAAAAUCCUUCAACUUAGAAAUCUUGGAGUUCAUCCAGCUUCUGUAAGCUUCCCAUGUUGAAUCACUAGCAGUCGGAUUUUCUGAAGAACGACUGACAGUCAUUGCUUCAUGCAAACGGAUUUUAGAUUCUGACUCAAAUUUCCUCAGAACCUUACCAAAGUUAGAGGAGGAUUUUUUUGGUUGUUUGGGGUAUUUAACUGUAAGUUUGAUUUUAGACUCAUCAAAGUCAGGACAAAAUACAGAAGGAAAUCAUGGGACAAUAAUGGAAAGUGAUUCAUGAUCAGGAGACGUUGGUUCGGGUUCAAAUUUAAACACUCCUUCAGGAGUUCCAUCAGAAACGUGUCCAUCUGAAACUCUUGAGAGAGAUGUUCUGGGGGUUAUUAUAUUUGGAUUUGUUGGUUUGGAAGCAGAAAUACAUGGUGGUGAGAUGGGUGAAUUUUGUAACUGUGGAGGAGAUGGUGGUGGUGGUAUUUGUUGUUGUUCUGACAAAGGUUCAGAAACUAAAGGAGUUUCUAUGAUUGAAAUGAUAAAGGUUGAUUGAGGUGGUGAAAGUGGGAUAGGUUCAGAAACUAUUGGUUGAAAUGAAGGAUGAGGUUGGAUUGGUAAGAUCCUUUCAAAAAGAAUUGAAUCGAAAUUAAAUUGAGUGUUAUAAGAAGGAAGCUUACCAGAUGUUACAUCAUAAGCUCUUGAAGAAGACUGUACGACUCCAGAAGUAUCCUUCAAAAUCAUUGCCUUCUUGCGCUCACUUAGAGGCACCUCGUCUUCAUCCAGAAAGACAACAAUCUUCUUCUUCUGAGCCCUAGAAGAUCCUUCGCCUUUAAAUUCCUCCUUUCCCUUCCCACGAGCAUUAGGGCAAGUCUCAGGAAGGUUGAAUGGAUCCACCAAUAGGCCAAGUCCAUCCUUCAGACAGCUUUCCAGAUAUGCCAUCAGAACCUGCGGAGGGUCGACCUUGGUGAAGAUUGGGUAGUCAUCUAUAUGAUUUCUUGUACCACAAAUAUCAUCCUUAGAAAGAAUUAAAUUUGGUCUUUGAUUUCUAGAUAUGAGCCCCAUACACUUCAGAUUCUUUCCCUAGAAUACCUUUCCAACAUCCUUCACCAGUUCUUCUGUCAAUCCACUAACUAGAAGGUCAUCUAUUAAACCAUUUUCCACAAGAAUGUCAGACAUUAGUAUGUCGUUAGGAAUGAAAAUUCUCUUUGUCUUCUUAGAAGAACCACCAGUUCUGGAUUCUCGGAUAGAACCCCUCAUGAACUUGAACAAAAUGGAAGGAAGUCCCAGCUUGACACCCUUCUCCAAACAAAAUAACAUGAACUUCUGAUGAGUGUUGAUGUAGUCAGGCCUAUUUAUGCUAGGCCUGUGGUAAAUACAACCCAAAAUAAUCUUGAACCAAACUCUUAGAUUCCUAGUCAAGUCAUUAGCACUAGGACCUUUGUCAUCUUCAAAGUUUGUUUCAUCCUUGAAGAUAGCUGGAGAAAUGGCAGCUUCUCUCUUAGUGGUGAUCUUAGCACUGCGUAUCCUUUUCCCUUUACCAUCAUGAGAGAUAAGAUUAACUAUGGACUUCUCAAUAAUAACUAUUUUCCAAUUCAUGACAUAGUAAGAAAUAGUUUCCUUUUCAACAGUUGCAUGCACCCAAAACUGCUUAACGAGAACUGGAUAAAUUGGGCUUGUGAGUCUCUCGAAGAAUGUUUUCUAACCUUGAAGUUCCAAGGUUUCAGUGAAAUCAAAACCGUUUUCCUUUAAAAAUUUUAAAUCAAUGAUGGUUUCGCAUAACACCAUUAACUCGUUGACAGGAGUAUGAAUAGUCAAUUCAGAUAUCCCUUUCAAGGUGGGGCUAUUUUCAGUUACCUUUGAAGAACUUGAAGAGUAUUGUUGUUGUUUAGCCAUUUGAAGAAGAUAAAGAUGAAGAACAGUUACAGAGAGAAAGGGUUAUUUUUAGGUUUGAAAAUUGAAAGUGUGGGAGUAAUGUGCGCGUAGUGUGAAAAUGUGAGUGAAGUGGGUUUAUAUAGAAAAUUUUGCAAUGAUGACAAAAAGGGAAUAUGCAGUCAUAGGGGGAAGCGUAAGAGUUUAAACCUAAUUCCAAGAAUCGUUAAACCCAAUGUGUCACGCUUUUAUCAUGCAUUCUCAAAAAUUGGGACAAUCGUCGCCACUAAGAACCACAUGAAAUCAAACGACAAGACAACCAUUUAAUGCAGCAACUGUUCAGAAUCAUGAAAACAAAUCAAUAAGAUUGUUUUUGAUAAUAACCUUUCUGAUUCAUGAAAACUUUGUUACUUCAGAAAGCUCAUGUUUCAUAGUCAAAAAGAAUAACACUCUCAGAAUCUAAUCUAGAGUUCUGAAGACUUAAACAUUCUAAAUACAUCUUUUCAUUCUGGACAUAAUUUCAUAAAUAAGUUUUUCAGAAUGAACACGAAUCUAUCUUUGGCAAGGGGUGUCGUAAAGAUAUAAGCCCAUUGAUGAUCUGUAUCAGCAAAUUUUAAAAUUUAAAUUUCCUUCUGAACAUAGUCACGUAAAAAGUGAUGUUUUAUUUCAAUAUGCUUAGCCCUAUAAUGCAAGAUAUGAUUCUUAGAAAAACAAAUAGUAAAGAUAUAACCCCAUUGAUGGUCUGUAUCAACAAAUUUUAAAUGAAAAUUUUCCUUCUGAACAUAGUCAUGUAAAAAGUGAUGUUUUAUUUCAAUAUGCUUAGCCCUAGAAUGCAAGAUAUGAUUCUUAAAAAAACAAAUAGAAGAAGUAUUAUCAUAGAGAAUAAGAAUGUUACUCUCAGAUAUCUGAUAAUCUUCCAGGUGAAUCUUCAUCAAGAGUAUCUGAGUGUUGCAUCUAGAAGUUGAAAUGUAUUCAACUUCGGCAAUUGAACGUGCAAUUGUUGUCUGUCUCUUACUGGACCAUGAGAUCAAGUUAUCUCCUAGAAAUUGGAAACUUCCAGAAGUACUUUUUAUUUCAAUUCUGUCUCCAGCAUAGUCAACGUCAUAAUAGCCUACUAAUUUACACCCACUUGAUUCCCAGAAAGAACUUAAGUUCUCCCAUCAGACUCAUUUCAAAUUUUAUCUGCAUAGACUUAACAAAAUCCAUGCACAACAAUGCAUUAGCAUAACCAAAAAUAAUAUCAUCAACAUAAAUUUGCACAACCAAAAUAUAAUUCUUAAAGGGUUUGCAAAAGAGAGUUGUGUCCAUUUUCCCUCCGGUAAAAUCAUUUUCCAAAAGAAAGUUGCUUAGUCUAUCAUACCAAGCUCUAGGAGCUUGCUUCAGACCAAACAAAUAUUUUUUCAGUUUAAAAACAAAAUCAGGAUUUUGAGAACUUUCAAAACCAUGAGGUUGACGCACAUAUACUUCUUCAGAAAUAUAUCCAUUCAGGAAUGCACUCUUAACAUCCAUGUGAUAAAGGAUGAUGUUAUGAUUGACUGCAAAAGAAAUUAAAAGAUAAAUAGACUAUAACUUGGAAAUUGGAGCAAAGGUUUUUGUAGAGUUUAUACCUUCUUGCUGACUAUAACCUAGUGCUACCAUUUGAGAUUUAUUUCUGACAACCUCGGUUUUCUCAUUCAGCUUGUUUCUGAAGACCCAUCUGGUUCCAAUGACAUGGAAACCCUUUGGCUUCUGAACAAGAUCCCAAACAUCAUUUUUGGUGAAUUGAUUCAAUUCUUCUUCCAUAGCCAAAAUCCAUUCAUUAUCCAGAAGAGCUUCAUCAAUUGAUGUGGGUUCUAUCAGAGACACCAAAAUGUUACCAAUGGCUCCAGAGCCAGUGAUCUUUCCGUUCUGGUUUCCUCCGAAACCAACUAAGCCUCCAGGCUUAAGUUCCAAGUCUUGGAACAUAAGCCUUCUAUCUGUCAUAUGUCGCAAGUAUCCACUCUCCAGGUACCAUGAUUGGUGUUUCAGCUGAGCUGUUAAGGAUGUCUGCAACAUAAAUUAUUUUAUCCUUAGGUACCCACUUUUUGGGUCCUCUUUUGUUAGUUUUUCCAGAGUUUCUUACAACUUUGGGUCUUUUAGCAGAAGGAUAAUCAUGAGAUAUUUGUGCAUGAUACUUAGGUUUCAGAACAAAGUUCUUAUCCUUAGUAUGCUUCUGUGUCUGUGCAGAAGUAUCAAGCUCAAUGCUAGCAGGCAUGAAAUGCACAUAGAGAGGUUUUGGUUUGACCUUCUGACUUUCGUCAAGUUUUAUAGAUUUUGUACAACCUAAACCUUUCCUUCCAUUUCUGCUAACUCCAUAGAUCAAGGAAGCCAUUUUGCUUCUAUUUAUGCUUUUAUCCAAAAAGUACUGGAAUGCUCUGUCGUAUCUGAUGAUGCAAUCAGUAUCAGACGCUUCUGAAAUUAUUUCCUCCUCUAGUUUUUAAAUUUUGCUUUUCAAAGCAGAGUUGUUACUUUCUAAAGAAAAUACCUUUUCAUUUAGAGAGGAAAUAUCUUUCUCAAGCUCUAUCUGAGUUUCAGAAGUAAUUGCUUGGAAUUAUUUAAGGUCCUUGUAUUUACUCUGAAGACUCUGGCACUUUUCCAGUAUUUUAGAAAGACGUGAUUCAAUAUUAGAACGAGAUAGGUUAGAAAAUACCUCUUCAGAAUUGGAGUCAGAUUUUGAUUCUGAUAAUACCUUGUCUUCUGGUUCUUCAAAGCUUGUGGGAUCCUUUGUGGUUUCCAUAAGUCAACAUUGGCUUUUUCUUUGUCAGAAUCUUCUUCUUCAGAUUCUGAGUCAUCCCAGGUAGCCAUCAUCCCCUUCUUAACGUUGGAGAAGUUCUUUUUGGGCCUUAUGUCCUUCUUCAGCUUUGGAUAAACAUUUUUAUAGUGGUCUGGCUCCUUGCACUUGAAGCAUAUAACUUCUUUUCUAGAACCUUGCUUCUUUUGUCCAGAAGAAGAAUCGAAGCGACCAACAGUCCUUCUGACUCCUCUGAACUUCCCUUGACCAUUUUGUCUAUGUUUCCAGAGUCUGUAGACUCUCUUUGAGAUUAGAGACAGUCCAUCAUCAUCAUCUGAGUCUUCAUCAGAUCCUUUUAAUUCUUCCUUAGCUUGAUAGGCUCUUGUCUUCUCAGGCUUAGAUUUUAGAGCAACAGGUUUACCUCACUUUUGAGGUUCAUCUUCUUCUAUCUCAAUCUCAUGACUUCUUAAAGAACUAACAAUUUCUUCAAGACUGAUGUUGUUUAGAUCCUUUGUCAGCUUCAAGGCAAUUACCAUAGGUCUCCAUUUUUGGGGAAGACUUCUGAUAAGUUUCUUGACAUGAUCAGUUGUAGAAUACCUUUUGUCCAUAAGUUUAAGUCUUGCGACAAGCAUCUAAAACCUUGAGAACAUAGUCUUUACUCUUUCAUCAUCUUCCAUUUUGAAUGCAUCAUAUUUCUGGAUUAAGGCCAAAGCCUUUGUCUCCUUUACUUGAGCAUUUCCUUCAUGAGUCAUCCUCAGAGAGUCAAAGAUAGAUUUGGCAGAAUCUCUGUUUGUUAUCUUCUCAUACUCCGUAACAGAUAGCAUUAAGAAAUAUGGUUUUGGCCUUAUGAUGAUUUUUAAAGUCUUUCUUCUGUUGAUCAGACAUAGCACUUCUUACUAAAGUAUUUCCUUCAGCAUUUACUGGGUGAACGUAACCAUCGACUACAAGAUCUAGAGAUCAACAUCAUAACCAAGAAAGAAACUUUAUAUUUUGUCUUUCCAAUAGUCAAAUUUCUCACCAUAAGAAAUAAGUGGUUUUGCAUUGUAAUGAUCUCUAUCAUUAUUAACAAUGUUAGCAACAGUCAUUGUUUCUCACAACUGGAUCGGUACUGAACAUUGUGAGGUGUUGAUAAUUUUUUUAUCACAAUCAGAACUAGAGCUCUGAUACCAAUUGAAGGUGUGAAAACACAAGAAAGGGGGGGGGGGUUGAAUUGGGUUUUAAGAGCAAAAGAUUUUUCCAAAACAAGAACACCACUAACAAGUUAAUAACAAAGAGAUAAAAACAGAAGCAUUUUUAUCCUGGUUCGCUUGAAACUCAAAGUUAAUCCAGUCCAUACGCCAAGGUGAUUUUUCCUUAUACACAAGGACUUAAUCCACUAUAAUCAACAGAUUACAACAAACACAAAGAAUAACCUUCUUUGUCUUCUCAAGGAUCCAACUAAACCUUAGUCUUCUUAAGGACUCACAAAGAACAACUUUCUUUGUCUUCUCAAGGAUAACCUCCUUAAGGAAUCAAACAAAUAGUUUGAAUAAUAUUUUGUGUUACAAGAUACUUCUACACAAGCAGAUUUUACACAAAUGAAUAACAAACACUUAAAGAAAAAUUGUAUACAAAAGAAUGAUAGAUUUUCACAAAGAAAAUAACUUGUCAAAAUAUUUGUGUAACCGGUGUUUUUCUUCAAGUCUCCAAGUCAUACAUAUAUAGCAUAAGCAUAAUACCGUUAGAGGGCAAAAUGGGGAAAGCUCAUUUGAGCGACUGUCCACUGUGUUGGUGUAAGCCCUAGAGGCCAAUACUUUUGGUACUUGUAUCGAAUUAUUUAUUAAUAAUAAAAGGCUUUUUCUUUAUUACGUUUGUUUAAUAAAGUCCCUAGAAUAGCUAGUCUGUUAUGUACCAAGUAUGACUUAUCAUGAGAUCACAUUAAACAUAAGGACACUAUUCUUAAAGUAUCCGUAGUCGAGCUUUAGUGUGAAGUGGAAACAUUGAAGCAUUAAGACUAUUAUGUUUGUAGACUGAUGAUCCACAUCUCAUGGAUCAUGGAUAAAGAGUUAUCAAGUCUUAAACAUAGGUAUGAAUAUUAAGAGUAAAUUUGUACCGGAUUGACCCGCUAUGAGAAUACUAAUUAGAAAGUUAUGCAAGGUGUCAUAAGUUAUUCUCAUGGUGAAAUAGUGUAUUCCACUCUUCGACUGAAACCACUAUGGAUCCUAGAUGUAGAGUCGAGUGCUUUAUUGCUGAUCCACGUUGUCCGUAACUAGAUAACCAUAAGACCAGUUAAUGGGUACUCCACAAAGCAUGCUGAGGGACAUGAGUGUCCUAGAUGGAAUUUGCCCAUCCUGCGUAACAGGAUAAAUGUCUAUGGGCCCAAUAUUGAACUGAACAAGGAUGACACUGGUCUAUGCCUUGUGUUCAAUAUAGACAUAGGGCAAAAGGGUAAUUAUACACAUAAUUAUUAUCACAGAAAGGUUUUGUCAGAUCACAUGACAUUUUCGUGUCUUGGGUAAGGCAGAUGUGUUGCUAGAUUACCGCUCACUGUUAUUAUAUUAAAUGUGUGAUUUAGUAUAAUUGCCAACGUCACGAAAACCUACAGGGUCACACACAAAGGACGGAUUGAUGAGAGAUAGAGUAACUAAGGAAUACCGUAAGGUACGGGCCCUUAAGUGAGUUAUAGAACAUCGUAAGGUACGGUGUCUUGAGUAGAAAACGAAUAUGGUAAGGUACCAUGAGCUUAAGUGAUUUUGGGCAUGUUAUAAGAUAUGGGCCAAAAUACACUUAAAGUGGGCUUUUAGCUUGAAGCCCACACAAGUGGUUCUAUAAAUAGAACCCUUGUGCAGAAGCAAAAAUUUGCGGUUGCAUUAUUUUCGUUCUAUCACUUUUCUCUCUCUCACUCAAAGCCUUCAUUCGUACCAGCUAGCACAGCGAGAUUGAAGGAACCGUUCUUGUGGACUGAGUAGAGACGUUGUCAUCGUUCAACGUUCGUGAUCGCUUCGGGAUUUGCAUCAAAGGUUUUGAUCGUCACAAGAGACUGCACCAAAGGUUUCUACCGUCACAAGAGGUAAAUAUUCUAUCACUAAUCAUGACCAUUCGUAAGGAUCUCUAAAGGAGAAAAUUUAAAUUCUCGCUGUGCUUUGGGUCGCAAUUCUCCUUCAGUGGUAUCAGAGCCACUACAAACCAUGACUCGGAUAGCUGUUUACUUUCUGUAUAAUAUGAUUAAAAGACAGAAUGAAUCAUUAAUUAAACGAGUAAUUAAAUUUGGCAUCAUGAGUGUACGAGUUGGAUGAUUGAUGUUGACUAUGCUUCGGAAUCCGACAUUAGUAUGGUGAAGCAGCGAUAAUCGAUCAUCCAUAGGUUACGCAAUUGAGACCGAUCAACUUAUAUAUGAUAAGUAAUCCUAAUGCAAAAUACGGUAUAAUGUGAUAUACUGUUUCUGUUUCGUUCAUUCGAACACUAAAUGAUGUUUUCCUUUGAGCGAUCAAUGGCAUUUGCUUCGAAUCCGACAUUAGUAUGGUGAAGCAAUGACCUGUGAUCAAUCAUAUUGAAUCAACAAUCGAGGUUGUUUGACGGUCUGAAAUUGGCGCAUUAGGUUGGGACGGCACAAGGGUUGUGCGUCAAGGAGUUGUGAAUUUAGGGCUUUUUUUGGAAGAGGUCCGUAGACUGUUUCAAAAGUCCUAUUAGUUUGGCCGCGUGAAGCUCGUGUGCGAGCGUAACAGGCGUAACAAACUGGAUGCGUGACGGUCGUAACAACCACCAUGACGGUCGUCACACUCACAUUGCCUGUGACGGUCGUCACACCGCUGUGAGCGGUCGUCACACUCCAGAGUCAAAUAUUUGGGGUUCCUGUUUUGUGACUACGCCAAGGGUGUGUCAUGCAAAACAAUGUUCCAUUUCAAUGAAUUGUUCAUUAAAAAUUUGGACAGGGGCGCUGCCCUCCAACCCCGCAAGGGCGCUGCCCCUUGACCCCGUCCGCUGACGGGCAGCGGGACCCCCGGCUAACUCUGCGUAGUGAUCGGUCGCCGAAAUUUAAUUUGGUUUUAAUUAAUUAAAGGAAUUAAAAUUUAAUAAUAACAAUGUGUUUAUUAUUAUUGCCUUGUGGUGAUCAGUUAUGGCCUUAGUUGUUCUUAUUUUUUUGGGUUUUUAAAUACGACCUGCGUGUCGUGCCUCUCCUUUUGAUCUCUUCAUGUAAUUCUUUUCUCAUCUCCCCUCGUAUGUAAAACGAGUUUCUCUGUAAUGUAAUGAUAUGAAGAAAGAAAGAAUUCAUAUCAAAGGAAGAAAGAGAAGAAAUUCAAUAUCAAAGGAGAAUAAUGAUAUGAGAAAGAGAAAGAAUUCAAUAUCAAUGGAGGACAACCCUUGAAUGAUCUUGCUUGGAGAAGCUUAGAUCGUUAUAGGUUAGCUUAGGUUCUCUCAUUGGCUUGGGAGAACAAUUGCGCUAGGCAUAACUGUUUCAUUUGUUUGUAUGUAUGUUGAUGCAUGUUGAUGUAUGUUGACUGCAUGUGAGAGACAAUUUAUAUGAAAAACAACAAGCCGGUGAGAUCAUAACAAUUGCAAUUCCCUCAAACUAAAAAUAUUAAGUUUAUGCUUUCCAAGUUUUUUAGCACUCAUCAAGACUAGUAUCCGGAUAAUGUAGUUUCGCCAAAGCGAGGUGCAUGUUCUAUAUUAGUAAGGUGCGAUGGGGAUAAUUGUAAUAUCCAACUGCAAAACAAUGGUCAAACUUAACUAAACAAUUAUGAUGAUAUUAUAGUUGUUUGUCUUUCCAAGUUUUAGCACAUCAAGACUAGUAUCGGAUAAUGUAGGUUCGCCAAAGCGAGGUGCAUGUCCUAUAUUAGUAAGGUGCGAUGGAAUAAUUGUAAUAUCAACUGCUAAGACAAUGGGUCAAACUUAAUUAUAAUAUAUCAUAUAUGUUUUAGAAGCAUGAGUUGGGAAUAAUCAUAUGAAUGGAUUGGAAAUAAGGAUAUUCAUCACCCAACUGAAAUUUUCGAGAGUUGUAUGAGAUACAACUAGAAGGAGUUCCUACCUAAUACCUAGUUUUUGUGUAAUCCGUUACGCUGGACUUAGAACGAAGUGAACAUAUGGAUCUCGACCUCACUAGAAAAUCUUCAACGGAUUUUCCGAAUCAAAUGAUGAGGGUCAUUUGUUUUGAGUAAAAUAGUGGAGCAUAUUUUGUUAAAGGCCCUAAUUAAAAUAUGUCAUGAAUACUUAUAUAUUCUUAUUCUUAUGUAGAUUACCAUGACAACAAAACCUCUAACAACAUCUUGCGAUCAAUUCCUUGACAAGGAAAUAUUGUCCUGGGACAAAUAUUCCUGGAUUGGCACCGCGAACCUGAGGACUGUCCUCAAACAUGAUAUAAAAGCUGUAUUGUCUUGGAGACUCCUGUUCUCGAAGAGGAAACCUCCUAGUUAUGCACCUAAGGCAGAAAGAAUGCUUAUAGAAGCAUUCGAGAUGCCAAUGAAAACUGCUUGUCUCAUGCUAGCUACCAUGGAACUCUCAGAAUUGCAAGCAACUAUAGAACAUGUCAGCGUUCGAUAUGAUCGAACACACUGAGUUGCCUAUUCAAGAGCAAGCAAGGCAUGAAAGGUUUUGAGUUUCAAAAGCCCUUUUUCAAGCAGUAUAGCUGAGGGAGCCUUAAGUCCGCCAUUGCUCAAGAUGAAUUGGUAUGUUGGAAAACCUUGAAAGGUUGGUUUUCCCUCGGAAAGGAACUUGCGACUGAUUUGAUCUUGUCAUCGUUGUCAGAUAGAUUCAGUCAAUUUGUCCUAAAUUUCAAUAUGAAUGAUAUGGAAUAAAUCUCUUUCCUGGACUGCUAGGCCAGUUAGAAUAGCUGAACAGGAACUGAAGACAAAGGGAAGUCAUUCUGUGAUCAGAUGGAAGAGCAGAACAAAAGCGCCACCAAGCGGUGAAUAUAAGGGAAAGGCAAGGAAGUUGCCCAACCCAGACCCACUGUUGCUGCUUGAAGCUACUGGAGGCAAGCAAAGCAGGCACCCUCUGCUUCCUUGCGGCUAAGACCCGACACUGGAGAGAGAAAUCCAAAGACUGGAAGAAACGAAAAUGGGAGGUAGAGACUCAACUCCUCAGAUUUUUGUUAUUGAAAUAAGUCUAUUCUACCUUCUCAUCAUGGAAUUUAGAUAUCUGGAUGCGUCUCACAUUGUACAAAAUGUGCAGGGGCUAAAAAGAAGUAGAGAUUUGGCAAAGGUGAAGUGGUGACCUACAGUUGGCAAGAGCCAAAGGUUGCUGCUUUAGCCGUAGGAAACUUAAUGUAUAACUUACCUAGUGGUUUAAUAAUUCAGUUAGAGAACUGUUAUUAUGUACCUGCAAUGUAGCAGGAGUAUAUUCCAUUUCUUGUUUGGACAAGUUUGGUUUUUUCAUAAUAAUAAAGAACAACUGUUGCUCAAUUUAAUUUGAAGUGAUAUAUUCUAUGCUACUGCACAAAUGAGCAAUGGACUGUAUGUCCUUGAUUCUCAGAAUAUGCCUAUAUAUAACCAUUAAUAUAAAGGAUGAAACCUAACGAGUUAAAUCCAACUUACCUUUGCAUUGUCGAUUAGGCCACAUAAAUGUAAAACGCAUUUCCAAACUCCAUAAAGUAUGGACCUUGGCCUUUUGAUUUAUGAAUCCUAUGAGAACUGCAGAUCUUGUUUAAUUGGAAGAUGAAAAUGUCUCCCAUUCACAGGAAAAGGUGAAUGAAGCUAAUGAAUCUUUGGCCGCUCAUAAUACUGAAUGUAGUGUGGACCACUGAACAUCGGCGCAGAGGAAGUUUUCAGUACUUCAUCACUCACUGAUGAUGUCGUAGAUAUGGGUUAUUGUGUAUUUAAGUGAAACACAAUCAGAGUUCCUUUGAAAAGUUCAAGGAAUCAGCAUGCCUAGUACAAACCAACUAGGUAAGAAUAUUAAAACUCUCGAUCAGAUCGAGGUGGUGAGUAAUUUAAGCCUAAGAGUUGAUGACCAUACAUGCUGAAAGAUGUGUGGGAUCCUAUCCAGACUUACUCCUCCUGGAACACCCCAAAUGGAAUGGUGUAUCUGAGAGAAUAAAUCGAACCCUGUUAUACAUGGUCGAUCCAUCGAUGAGUUCACGCCGAUCUUCCAAACUCCUUUUGGGACAGCACUUAUUGACAAGCAGCUUACUACACUUAACGCGUGUUCCAUCCAAAAAGGUUGAGAAGAACACCAUAGUGAGAUAUGGAGUGAUAAGAAACAAUAUGUCCUUAACAUGAAAGAUUUGGGUUGCGAGGUUUUAUGUGAACGACAAAUUUUCAAACUAAGCUUUGAGCCCGAAAUCUGACAAAUGCUUAUUUGUGGGGUAAAUCCUAAAGAAACAAAAGGGUAUUACUUCUUACAGGAUCCUUCUGAGGCAAGAGUGUUUUUGUCGCUCGAACGUGGAGUUUCCUAGAAAAGGAUUUUAUGUUUCAAAGGAACCAGUGGGAGGAAGUAGAGCUGAAGAAUUCAAGAAUCACAAAGCAUAGAUACACCUAUGAGGAAUUAGAGCAGGAAAACACAAGAAUUGUGGAAGAGCAACCUGCUCAAGUAGAACGAGACCGAGCGUAGGUCAAGCAGGAUACGUCAACUACCUGAGAGAUAUGGAUUAUGCUCAUAACUCCUCAAGCGGUUGAAUGUAUUACUCAUCAGAUCAAGAUGAGCCUCGUGACUACCAAGAGGCCAAUAGAUGGUCCGAGUCUGAGAAGUGGCUAGAAGCCAUGAAUCUGAAAUGGAUCCCAUGUACACAAACCAAUUUGGGAACGCUUGGUAGAGCCUCCUGUAGGAGUUAACCCUAUAGGAAUGCAAGUGGGUCUUCAAAAAAGAAGACUGACAUGACGGUAAGGUAAAUACCUAUACAGGCAAGACUGGUUGCAAAAGGAUAAAUUAAACAAAUUCAUGGGAUUCGACUAUGGAUGAAACCUUUUCACCAGGUUGAAAAUGCUUAAAUUGUUCGGUUACUGUGGCUAUGCGUUGCAUAUCAUCGCCUUAUGAAAUAUGGCAGAUGGCUGUCAAAACCUGCUUCCUUAAUGGAAAUCCUUCCUUGAGGAGUGUACGAAUGACACAGCCUGUAAAGAUUUGACAUAGCCAGAGGAAGCCCAAAAGAUACUGUAAGUUACAAAAGAUCAACUCUAUUGGAUUGGAAGCAAGCUUCCAGAAGCUGGAAUCUUCGUUUUGAUGAAACAGUAAAACAAUAUGGAUUCAUCAAGAACGAAGAUGAGCCCUUGUGUCUAAAGAAGUUAGUGGGAGCAUGAUCGUUUCACUGGUAAUUAUAUGGUAGAUGACAUACUUACUCAUGUGGAAACGAUAUCCCUACCCUACAACAUAAAGUCCUUGGUUAGGGAAGUGCCUUUCUAUGAAGGACCUAGGUAAGCAGCCAAAUAUUAGGAAUCAGAAUCUAUAGAGAUUAGACGACAAAAACUGCUUGCUUAAGUCAGAGUACAUACAUAGACAAAGUGUGAGACGCCUUUAAUAUGCAUGAUUCCAAGAAAGGUUCAUACCUAUGCAACAUGUUCUGUGUCUACUCAAACACACAAUCCCCUUUAACUAAGGAAGAAAAGGAUCGCAUGAAUAAGAUUCCAUAUGCGAUCUGCAAAUAGGAUAUAUCACAAUGUAUGCAUGUUAUGGUACUCGACCAGAAUGUUCGUAUGCUUUGAGUGCAGAUCAGUAGGUACAUCGCUCCUGUGAUGCUCAUGGGUAGCAGUCAAGAAUAUACACCUUAAGUAUUUUAAGAAGGACUAAGGACUCAUCUUGAUAUAUGUGAGGUCAGGAAAGUUGGCUGUAUUGAUACACCGAUGCUAAUGCCUCCAGACAGAUAGGAUGACUUUAGAUCGCAAUCCUGGUUAUGUGUUUUGGUGAAAUGGUGGCGCUGUGAGCGUUUAAAAGUUCAAAGCAAGAUCAGUUGCUGAUUCUAACAUACCGAGGCGAGUAAUAUGCUGCCUCAAAUGCAGAAAAGGGAGUUGUUUGGGUCAAAAUCAAAAUUCAUUAGUUGAACUUGGCAUGAUUCCCUAGCAUUGUGGAUCCCAUUGGUCUCGUAUCAUGAUAACAGAUGGUGCUAGUCCGCACAAGCCAAGGAGCCUAGAUCUCACAAGAUCCAAACACAUACUUAGGCGUUAUCAAUCUCAUUCGAGAGAUAAUAGAAUAGAGGAGCAUGUGAAAAUUGCGCAGAGUACCUACAGAUUGACAAUAUUGCUGAUCCCACUGACAUAAGCCUUUGCGCAGGCAGAAGCAUGAUGGCCAUACAAGAAAUCUAUGGGUAUAUAAGGGUAUGCCUGAUUGCUUAGUGCUAGUGGGAGAUUGUUGGCUGAGCCUUAGAGGCCAAUUAUUUUUGGUACUUGUAUCGAAUUAUUUAUUAAUAAUAAAAGGCUUUUUCUUUAUUACGUUUGUUUAAUAAAGUCCCUAGAAUAGCUAGUCUGUUUAAUGUAUCAAGUAUGACUUAAUACAUGAGAUCACAUUAAACAUAAGGACUAUUUCUUAAAGUAUCCGUAGUCGAGCUUUAGUGUGAAGUGGGAUAACAUUGAAGCAUUAAGACUAUUAUGUUUGUAGACUGGAUGAUCACAUCUUCAUGGAUCAUGGAUAAGAGUUAUCAAGUCUCUUAAACAUAGGUAUGAAUAUUAAGAGUAAUAUUUGUACCGGAUUGACCCGCUAUGAGAAUACUAUAUAGAAAGUUAUGCAAGGUGUCAUAAGUUAUUUCUCAUGGUGAUAAUAGUGUAUUCCACUCUUCGACCUGAAACCACUAUGGAUCCUAGAUGUAGAGUCGAGUGCUUUAUUGCUUGAUCAACGUUGUCCGUAACUAGAUAACCAUAAAGACAGUUAAUGGUACUUCUCACAAAGCCAUGCUUGAGGACAUGAGGUGUCCUAGAUGGAAUUUGUCCAUCCUGCGUACAGGAUAAACAAUGUCUAUGGGCCAAAUUAUUGAAACGAGCUGAACAAGGAUGACACGGUUAUUGGUCUAAUGCUAUUGUGUUCAAAUUUUUGGAGUUUUGAUAUAGGAAACUAAUUGGAGGUGUUUAAUUGUCAAGAAGGAUGUAGAGAAUGUAUGGGGGAUUUUAGUUAUCAAACAAUAAAUAUAUGAUUUACAUCAGUCGCAGUUAAGACAAAGGAUAGAGGGCAAAAGGGUAAACAAAUUAUAUCACAUAAUUUUAUCACUAGAAAGGUUUUUGUCAGAUCAAUUCGACAUAUUUUCGUUCUUGGGUAACAGCAUGAUGUGUUGCAACCUAAGGGCUUCAGGAUGGUCGGAGCAGAGGUGUGGUUUGUUUAAUCUAUAUUUAUACAUGUGCGGUCGAAUCUUUAAUAGUAUGAUUUUUGCCCAAGCGUCAACGAAAAACCUAGCAGGGUGGCCCAGACAACACACAGGAACGGAUUGAUGAAAAGAAGAUAAGAAGUAAACUAAUGGAAUACCAGUAAGGUACGGUGCCAAAAAAGAUAUUAAGAACAUCGUAAGGUACGGUGUCCUGAGUAGAAUACCGAAAUAUGGUAAAGGUACCAUGACACAAGGCCCCCAGGAGCACACUAGUAUAAAAAAAAAAAUUUUUUUUUGGGCAUGUAUAAGAUAUGGGGCCAAAAUAAACACUAAGUGGCUUUUUUUUUUUAGCUUGAAGCCCACUACAAGUGGUUGCUAUAAAUAGAACCCUUGUGCAGAAGUAUAAGAAAUUGCUGGUUGCAUUAUUUUCGUUUUCUAUCACUCUUCUUCUCUCUCACUCAAAGCCUUCACAUCGUACAGCUAGCACUGAGAUUGAAGGACCCGUCGUGUGGACUGAGUACAGACCGUUGUCAUCGUCAACGUUCGUGAUCUGCUUCGUGGAUUUGCAUCAAAGGUUGUGAAUCGCACAAGAGACUGCAAACAAAGGUUUCAACCGUCACAAGAGGUAAAUAUUCUAUCACUGAUCAUGACCAUUCGUAAGGAUCUCUAAAGGAGAAAAUUUUAAUUUCCGCUGCGCUUUGGGUCGCAAUUCUCCUUCACACUGUUGGAUGGGAAAGGAAUGAUAUUGCAUAUUGUCCUUUCGCCCAUAAAAUUAGUGACAAGUGUGAUAUAUAGUACUGUCCUUGCCCAUGAAUUUAGGUAGUGGAAAGGAUGUUCGUUUUGUACCAUGUACUAUUUGAUCACGUUCCCAUUUUGAUCUUAUCUUCAAAUUCAUUGGCUUAUGAUGAAAGUUGAUGAAGCAUGAAAUGAAUAAACAUAAACCUGGAUUUAGAAACUUCAGAAUCUUUGGUCAGAACCUUGAUAGCAUCAGUAGUCUGGCUUGAGAUCUUCAGUAUCUUUAGAGUCUUCAGAAUCCUCAGUCAGAACCUUGAUAACUUCAAUCGUCUGACUUGAGAUCUUCAGAAUCUUCAACUAUAUAACACAACUUCAUAAGCUUGUCAUUCUUCAGAAGUUUAAUGAUCAGAGUCACAUCCAGAAGCAUGAAUUGAGAGAAUAUUGCAGCAGCAACAUAAUGUCUCCUCAGAAGCUUCUGAUGAGUGAGACAACACAAAAGCAGAAAGAACAUUGCAGCAACAAUAUUUAUGUCUUUCAGAACUUCUAAUAGCCAACAUAGAAGCGGAUUUGGAACACAUAGUUCAGAAACUAAUGACGUUGCACAUCAUAUAUUCAGAAUCAGAACUGAUUGUUAAAGUUAAAUAAUAACAAACCAUUAGGGUACCAAAAUUGUUCUCACACAAAUACAAUAUUGUUAUCAUCAAAACUCAAGGUAUAGAUGUAGAACCAAAUCUUGUUCUAACAGAUGUCACCCUUCAUAUGUCUUGAGCAUCUACUAACGAGAACCUGUAUUCUCUUCAUAUAGCCAAGACAUUUAUCCUACAAGAUCGCCAAGAAAUGCUAGGUACCCAAUCUUCAUUGGGUCUUUGAGAGUUAGUGAAAGUAUGGUUGCAUUUGGGCAACCAUUGAAAAAAAAUUUAGGAACAAAGAGUCUCCUAAAUUUGCAUUUCUCAAUGGUGUGACCUCUCUUGCAACAAUAGUGACAAGAUAAAUUGUGAUGAGAUGUUCUUUUGCUAUUUGAAUCCUUUUGAAUAUAUCUAUACUUUUUAUGUGGAUGGUUCAAAGACCUUUUAAAUUUUGAGGGGUCAAUAGCAAAUAUAACAUUUGGUUGUAAUGCCUUGUCCAAUUUAGUUUUAAGAGUAUUAACCUCUUUUUGCCAAAUGUGACAAGUUUCACAACUGAAACAUGAAGGUUUUUCAUCCUCAUUCUUAUCCUUUUGAAUAUCUACCAUAGAUUGUUUAAGAGCUUCCAUUUUCUUUUUAGUUUCUAAAACUUUAGCUUCUGAGUGUGAAAAGAUUCUUUUGUUUAAAGCUAACUUUUUAAAAACGCACACGCCUUUUCUAUGUAGAUUUUCAAAAGCAUUUUAUAAUUGAGAAUAAGAUAUUAUAUUAAUAGAUUCGUGUUUAGAACGACUUACAUUCUUCUUCUUCUUUUGAUUGUCCAUGAAGCAAAUAUUUGUCGAUUCGUCACUACUACUUGAGCUUUCAUCACUUGAGGAUUCACUUUCCCUCUCCCAAGGAACGUAUGCUCUUAUGGACUUGCUAGACUUCUUGUAAUGGCCUUUCUCUUUGUCUGACUUAUAAUGACCGACUUUUCCACAACUGUAGCAUGAACCUCUAUGUUUACCCUUCUUAUUCUCACAUUCCUUUGAGGAGUUCGAUAGUCUUAUAAAGUUAAUUAGGUUCUUAUCAGAGUGCUUGACUCCAUUUUUCUCCAUGUACCUAUGGUACAUUUUGACGAACAACCUCAUUUCUUCAUCAUUAGAAUUCUCGUCAUUACUUGUUUCACAAUCACUUUGCUCAUUGGUUGAGGAUUUUAAACUUGAAGCCUUUAGAGAAAUAAACUUCUUUUUUACCUCUUUGUCCUUGUCUUUCUCCUUCUUUAUCUUCUUCUCGUUCUUUUUCUUAUGUUUUUCCAAGCAAAUGAGUUCUUACUCAUGUUCUUGUAGUUUGGGAAAUAAAGUUGUGAGGUCAAGUUUUCUAAGAUCAUUCGCUUCUUUGAUUGCGGUGACCUUAGGUUGUCAUUCCCUAUUAAGACACCUCAAAACUUUAUUAGUAGCAAUAUCAUUGGAAAUAUGCUUACCUAGAGCAUUCAAAUGAUUUAUAAGAUGUGUGAACCUCUUUUGCAUGUCAGCAAUGGUUUCACCAUGCUUCAUGCGAAAUAGUUCAAACUCUUUAGUUAAGGUAUUGAUCCUUGCUUGUUUGACUUCAUUAAUUCUCUCAUGGGUAACUUCUAAUGCAUCCCACAUAGCUUUGACAUUUUCAUAAUGGGAAACACGAUAAUAUUCAUCAACGCCAAGUGCGGGUAUGAGAAUAUUUUGUGCCCAAUCCAAAACUCUGUUCACUCAGACGGACGGACAUGUGUACGAUCACUCGGAGAUUCUGCAUUAAAGAUAGACACCACAAAUACCUCAACCAUUUGAAUCUAUUCAACUGGCUGUUAUAAUUAUCAUAUAUAUAUAUAUAAGUGUGACAUCAUGUCACAUUAAAGUACGAUUCAAUAUACUUUUACAAAUUAACACUACUUUGAUUUCACCGUCUUAUAAGUUUAAAUACUAACAUUGUAGAUACACAUUUUCCUAAUGACUCCAACCGCGACACUAAAAGUGUAAACUUCACCAUCACAUCAUUUUUUUUUCAAAAGAAAUAAAAGAGUUUUGAUUCCUACUUUGCAAUCCUUGCUCGAUGAAGUAACCAACCAAGGGAUUAAUGAUGACCCCACUUUAUCCCAAAGUCUCCAAUGUGGCAUGAUGUGAUUGAGUAACCAGCACAUCCACGAAAACGCAAUCCAAACCUAAUCUAUUCACAAGUAUUCAAUUUUUUCGUAGAAGUCAAUAAUAAUAAUAAUAAUAAUUGGAACACAAAAACUACCAUCACCACUAAGAUUCCUCACAUAUCUAUUCAGACCUCUUAGCAUUGCCAACACCGAAAUCACAUACUAGAAUGGCAACAACAACCUUUGCAACCGUCGUAGGAAUGGGUGGUGCAUCACGUCUCACCUCAGGUAUAUCUGUCAUUAAUUAAAACAUAAUUAAGCAUGUACCAUUUUUUUAUAUAUGUUUGUAUUUAUUUUAAUUGUGAUUUUCUUCCAGGAUUUGGGAAACCACAAGUAACUGCUAGGAAUCCUUUGAGGCAAGCUAUGGCGGUAGGAAAUGGUGGAAGAGUGACAUGGUAAUUUUUAUUAUAAGAUUGAUUUGUAAGGUUUUUAAACUGAAUUAUUUGAUCUCUAUGAAUAUUUAUUUUGAUGAUGAAAAAAAUGAAUUGUGAUAUUUUUUGUGGAUUGUGAUGUGAAGCUUCCAGAGGGAUUGGCUACGGAGGGAUUUCAAUGUGAUUGGGUUUGGGUUGAUAGGUUGGUUGGCACCGUCUAGCAUCCCGGCUAUUGACGGUAAAAGUCUGACUGGACUUUUCUUUGAUAGUAUUGGAACUGAACUUGCUCACUUCCCUACACCUCCAGCUCUUACUUCACAGUUUUGGUUAGUCAUUUCUUUCACAUAUUUUUGUAUUUAAUUCACUUGAUUCUCUGCUAUAUGCAAUCAUAGUUUCAAAUGAAAGUGGAAACAUAGAUGAGAAGUGAAGUAAUGAACAGGAAGGAAUUAGUUGGAGAUCUUCUAUACUUGUCCUUAGGUAUCCAACGGAUCAGGGACGGUUUUUAGUUCCCAUCCAAACCUGAAUUUCAAAAUAAUCUUCAACUCCCCAUUUUAUAAUUGAGAAAAACUCAAACUUUAACCUAAUUCAAUGAAAAUGGAUUUUUUUCAUAAAUUCGGGAUGGGACGGGAUAGGAUGGGUAUCCGGGAGAGUAUGAUUAUAUUGUCUUGCGUAUUAAAUCCUUAAAUCCAUUCAAAUUGAUUAGCUCAUGAGUCAUUUAGAAAAAUACUGAUAAAUAUAAAGCUUAAACCUUAUAAUAAAGAGCCCAAAUUUUAAAAGGUUAUUUCAGUCUGAUCUUAAAUAGCUCGUUAUCCAUUCAGGUCAGUAACAUGUAGCUAGCUCGUUUGAUUUGCAAACUAAAACUUAUAUUAUUAUUUAUGGCUGUUUCACAUUUCUUAAAAUUUUUAUUUUUUAAGAUAAUUAAGUUUUUCACAAAACUUCUUAAAUAAUUAUAUUUUUCUAUUAAUUUGAAGUAUUUAUUUUUUAAAUAAAAAAGAUUUACAACACAAAAUACAUAUUUAAUGACGACUACAUUAAAUAAAUAAAAAACAUAGUCAAUUGAAUUAACGGGUUAUUUGACGCAUUUGUACAAGAAAUAGGAAGGGUCGCCAAUUAAAUCAGUGACUAUGUGUUGAGUAUUUUUUUUAUUUUAAUCUAAUUAAUUAAUAAAUAAGUUUAAUAAAAACUAAUAAUAUUUAAAUUUAAAUCGAAUUAUACGAUAGUAUUGAGGAUAAAAUAUUUAAUGAAAAAACCAACUUAGCCAAUUUAAUAUACUAGGAACAUUUAGAAAAAUCAUCAAUGUCUUGGCUCAAUCAACUAGGUCACUCACUAAUAACUCCAUCAAUCCAAACAACAUAAUUCAACUAAUAACUCGUCAAUAGACACAAGACUACAUAAAAUUACAAGAAUUUAUUAGAUAAUUUGAUGAUAGGAUGUUCAGUGCAUAUUGAAAUGGUUAAGUUGCUUUUUCCAUUGAUUCGUCUUACCCUUAGUAAGUACACUCAAUAACAUGUAGAUGAUCUUUAAUGUUCUAGUACAUUCACCGAUUGGAAUAUAUAUUUAUAUGUUAAAUAUAUAUACAUUAAUAUUAUCAAAAUAAAUUUAAUUAUUUUAUGUUAGAAUUUAAAUUUUAAUGAAAAAAGUUAAUAAAGAGUUAGGUUCACAAUGAUAAAAAAAAAAUGAGUUCAAACUCUAUAAGUUCAUAUAUGCCAGCUUUAUAAGUCCGUCAUUAGCCUAAUAAAAAAGAAUCACAUCAUAGUUCAUUUCGUCUUUUUUUAUAGAUUUUUAAGUUUAGUUUGUUAAUAAAUAUUAAAAGGUGCUUAAUUUAAUUUUAAAUAAUUAAAUAGCAAGCAAGAUCUUUAAUGAUAAGGAUCAAAAAAAUUUAAAAGAAAAUUUUAAAAAAAAUAAAAAAAGUUAAAAAUUUUAGGUCCCACCGAGAAUUGAACUCGGGUUACUAGAUUCAGAGUCUAAUGUCCUAACCGCUAGACCAUGGGACCAGUUGAUGAUAGAGAGUUACGACGUGUUGUAUAUAAAUAUUCCGUAAAAUUAUAUUUUGUAUUUGAAUUUGAAUAUAUUUUUCGUUCUAAGACAUAAUAAAGCAAACAUGUUGAACAGGUUAUGGUUGAUCUGUUGGCACUUGGGGCUGUUCAUCUCCCUCACUUUCGGUCAAAUUGGUUUCAAGGGAAGGACUGAGGAGUACUUUGAUUCAUAAUAACUUAUGGUCUGUUAUUAAUUGCUUUUCCUUUUAUAUUAUUUUCUGCCUUGUAAUCUACCAUCUGUAACUCUGGUACCUUUUCCAUUGCACUAGAAAAAAUCGGUGUAAUAUCGCUUUCAUAAUGAAUCAAUGUAUAUUAGUAUUAUGGUUGUAUCUUGUGUGUAUUAGUUGCUUAUCAACGUCCCAAUUUUAGUUUUGCAAUUUUCCUAAAGGAUAAUCAUGAUUAUUAAGCCGGAAUAACUUUUUUUUUAAUGAAAUCUUAUCUAUUUAAUAUUUUACAAAACAAUAACAUUUCGUAAUUUAUAA
rnacentral:lncRNA from 1 species